rnacentral:rRNA from 1 species
UACGAAGGGUGCAAGCGUUACUCGGAAUUACUGGGCGUAAAGCGUGCGUAGGUGGUUUGUUAAGUCUGUUGUGAAAGCCCCGGGCUCAACCUGGGAAUGGCAAUGGAUACUGGCAAGCUAGAGUGCGGUAGAGGGUAGUGGAAUUCCCGGUGUAGCGGUGAAAUGCGUAGAUAUCAGGAGGAACACCUGCGGUGUAGACGGCUUACUGGACCAUAACUGACGCUGAGGCACGAAAGCGUGGGUAGCAAACAGG